rnacentral:misc_RNA from 1 species
CUGCCGACAGGUUAGCGCGCUAUCGGCGCAGGUCGUUUCCCUCGCGCGUAUAUCUGGAGGCGACCGCAUAAGGGGAGAGAGCGAGUCCGGGGCGGACGAUCGCGCGGUCCGCGAGGCCGACGCGGCUUCGAAUAUCUCGCGGCGCGGGCUCGGCUGCGAGUGGCGGCGCGACGCGCCGGGUCGGCGGCCCAGGCCGCGCAGGUGACGAGGAUGAGUCGCGUGGCGUGAACCCCAGGACGGAGUCAGGACCUGCCCGGAAGAUGCCUGGACCUCGCGGCCCGAGAGCGGCGCCCGGCGCAAGGUCCGUCGUCGGGGCCAUCCUGGGCGUGUGGAUGUUGGCCGGCGUCAUAGCCGGCAACAAUGUGAACGAUCCGCCAAUCCUGGAUGCUGGAGGGUAUCCAACGGGAUUACCGCUUCCGGAAGGCACUCCCGUCGGCUCGAAGGUGUUCGUCCUGAAGGGGCACGAUCCCGAGGGAUCGCCAGUCAAAUACGGGAUUCAGCUUACGGACAAAUUCGUCGUCGAUCCUCACACGGGUGUAAUCACUUUGGCCAAGCCACUGGAUCGGGAGGAAAAUGACACCAUCCGUUUCCGAGUGACGCUAGAGGACCAGGUUCCGGAAGGCCAACAGCCGAACAUCGUCGGCAUGGAAGCUUAUGUGAUCGUUUUGGACGAGAACGACAAUCCUCCUCGUUUCAUCGGAGUACCUUACGAGGCUGUGGCCGCCGAGGACACUCCACCAGGUUCCACAGUCCUCCCAGGAAUUCGAGUCACCGACCCCGACUUGUUGGGCAACAAUAUCGAGCUCUACUGUAUUCCACAGCAGCAGUUCCCCGAUGCCUGCGAGAAAUUUGGCAUCGUCGACGUGGAGAAGAGUCAGAAUACCUACGUGGGAGCUUUGGUUCUGCAACAGCCUCUGGACUACAGAGAGAGGCCAUUCUAUCAGCUGAUUCUGAGGGCCAGUGACGGCACCAAUAACGGUACGACCGGCGUGGAGAUCAAGGUCGCCGACAUUCAGAACAGUCCUCCCGAGUUUUUAGACUCGCUAACCGGAAUCGUGCGUGAAGACGACCCGAUAGGUACUCUCGUGAUGACGGUCAGGGCUAGAGAUGGUGAUCGAGGAAUGCCGAGGAAGGUGAUCUACCAAUUAGUCACCAAUCCGUUCGAUUACUUUCUGCUGGAUGCCGAAACCGGAGAGCUGAGGACUGCGAAGCCACUGAACAGAGAAGCCCUCGAAGACGCCACGGGGGUUUUGACAUUAACGGUGAAAGCUCGAGAGGUAAUCGACGGCGUGCCAGGAAACGAUGAAACGACGGUGUCAACGGCAGAAGCCACAGUGACGAUCAAAGAUGUCAACGACGAGCCACCCAGAUUCAACAGGCGGGAAUACAGCAUCGAGAUCCCUGAAAAUGUACCUGACGAUACUCCCCUUCCACACCUGGAUAUGACAGUUAAAGACCCUGACGUUGGUCUGAACUCCGUAUUUUCCCUGAGAUUGGAUGACUUAACCGGAGCGUUUACAGUAGAACCGACGAUGGCAACUGGAAGCACUACGGUGAACAUUCGCGUGGCUAAUGGCUCUCUUGACUACGAGAACCCUAACCAGAGGAAAUUCUUCAUACUGGUGAUCGCGGAAGAGGUUCAUACGAACCCUAAACUUGCGUCGACCGCGACGGUCACCGUGUCAAUUACAGAUGCCAAUGACAACGCCCCUUCGUUCAGUAAUCCCACGUACACUGCCUCGAUUUCGGAGACUGCCACUCCAGGGACUCUUAUCGCAACUAUCACUGCCAAAGAUCGCGACAGUGGCCGGUUCGGUACGGCGGGAAUAGUGUAUCAGUUACAUGGGCAAGGAGCCGAGCAUUUUGCCGUCGAUAAGAGAACCGGAACCAUCACCGUUGCUCCCUGUCCUACUCCGGGCACGUCACCGUGUCUAGAUUACGAGAACCAGACGGAAUACUUCCUGAAUUACAAGGCGACCGAUGAUGACGGUAAAGGACAAACGACGAGUGUCUCUUUACGAGUCAGCUUGCUCGACUCGAAUGACAGCCCUCCAAGGUUCCUCCAACAAAAGUACAGAGCCGUCAUCGACGAAGGUGCGGAGAAGUUCGAGCCAGAACUGAAGGUCCAGGCUCGCGAUAAGGAUAAGACUUCGAAAAUCAGUUAUUCCAUAAUCGCGGGGAAGGACAUGAAUUUAUUCGACAUCGACUCGGAUUCUGGGGAGAUCACCAUUGCUAAUAAGGGUCCGUUGGACAUGACCAAUUCCACCCAUGAUUGGAUAGCUCUCUCCGUACAAGCCAGCGAUGGAGCAUUUACCGACACCGCAUUAGUCAACAUCACUGUACGCGAUGUUAAUAACAAUGCUCCUGUAUUUCCUCAUGAUUUGUAUACCGCUAGCGUCCCAGAGGUGUCGGAAAUUGGUACCGUCGUCGAAGAAGUUACGGCUACUGAUGCCGAUAGCGGUAUCAACGCCGAGCUGACGUACAGGAUUCAAAAGGGAGCAUUCGAUGACUUCGCCAUUAAUGACACCAGUGGCGUUGUGACUGUUUCCAGGAAACUUGAUUUUGAUAAAAGCAACACGUAUCAUAUAGAAGUUAUCGCUUUGGACGGAGGAACGCCUAGCUUAACGGGUACAACGACUCUCAUGAUAAAGGUAGAAAACAGUAACGAUAAACCUCCUUAUUUUACUCCUGAAACCCAACGAGCGGAAGUUACCGAGGACACCGCUAUUGGUACAGUAUUUGCAACAUUAAAAGCAGCCGAUCCAGACAGCACGGAUCCCGAAGCACUUAACUUUGCCAUUUCCAAACCUAUUACCGCCAUCGACAGAAAUGGACAGCAAGUGGUCGAUAACACUACAUCUUUCAAGGACUUUUUUGCCGUUGACAGAAAAACGGGUCAAGUGUCGGUAGUGAGACCCCUUGAUAGAGACAUUGCUGCAACGGUCAGCAUUCCAGUGAUAGUCACUGACACCUCGGCACCUACUCUCCAGCAAGGAACAGGCACUUUGGUGGUGACCAUCAUCGAUGUAAAUCAUUUGCCACCGGAAUUCGCAAAGCCGUGGACCAAAGAAAAUCCGGGAUAUUCAAUCGAGAUGCAGGAAGAACAACCAACAGGAGCGAUUGUCGGAGCAUUCACGGCCACCGACGCCGACAGCAAUAUUGCUGGAUACGCCAUUGAUCCACCUAGCCCAUAUUUCAACAUCGACAAUAUUACUGGAAUCGUACGGACUAGUCAAAUAAUUGACUACGAAGAAUCGAAGCAGCUGACCUUCACCGUAGUUGCAUACGAUUCCGGAGUACCACCACUGUCCUCUACGGCGAAAAUCACCGUGACCAUAAUAAACGUGAACGAUCAGGAUCCUAAAUUUGAAAAAAAAUCCUAUAGUGCUUCGGUGAAAGAAAACGCUCCACCAGGAACCCACGUAACCGUUAUCAAAGCCACGGAUGGAGACGAAGGACCAUUUGGCGAAGUCAGUUACAGUCUUAUCGGAGAGCAUGCCUCUGAUUUUAAUAUCGGUCACGAAACUGGGGAAAUCACCGUUGGAAGUGCGACUGUUUUGGACCGAGAAAUAAUGCCGGAGAUCACAAUAACAGUAAUGGCCAGUGACGGAGCUCCCGUGAACUCUCGGAGAUCGUCUUCGGUUCCCGUUCAUAUACAACUGGUCGAUGUCAAUGAUAACCGUCCGAUAUUUACACAGCACAGCUACAGGGCUUCGGUAGCAGAGAAUCUGCCAGUGAAUCCUCCAGCUCCGAUUCUGCAGGUUCGGGCAGCAGACCCUGACGAAGGCAUCAACGGGGAAGUUUGGUACUCUAUAUUAGAUGGAAAUGAGAAUGGCUCGUUUGUUUUGAACCCAGAGACCGGUAUAUUAUAUCCAGCAGUGGCCCUUCUGGGUCGAGCAGGAUCCUAUAGAAUUCAAGUGGAAGCCAGAGACGGUGGCGGAAACGGCCCACAUUCUGAUAAAUGUUACGUCGACAUCAGGGUGAUUCCUGUCAAUCAACACAAACCCGAGUUCAUUAUGCCAGAACUGCCAAACGCAACGGUAGAAGUUCCCGAGAAUGCAGGAAUCCCAAAUUAUCUCGUGAUGACCGUGAAAGCCACCGAUAAGGAUCCUGGCGAGAAUGGAAAAGUUGGUUAUCAUCUAAAUGUUGAAAACAGGAACGUCCAAGAGACCGAAGAAUUCUCCAUCGACCAGGAAACUGGCGAACUACGUGCCAAGAUAAUUCUUGAUCGAGAAGUCAAAAGUAAAUUCGAGCUAGUGUUAGUAGCAGCAGACCAUGGUAGCCCGACAACGUAUGAGACUUUACGUCUCUUGACCGUGUUAUUAGUCGAUACCAACGAUAACGUUCCUGAAUUCUACGAUGAAUACAACUUUCAUGUUCCUGAAAACAGACCGAAGGACUAUUUCGUAGGAAAAGUCACUGCGGAAGAUAAAGAUGAGGGGAGACAUGCCAAAGUGUACUACUACAUCGAGGCUGGCAAUGAAAAUCGAACUUUCUACAUCGACAAAACUGACGGGCGUAUAUAUUCUAAUAAAUCAUUCGACCGGGAAGAACGAGAUACCUAUGUCCUUUCGAUUCUUGCUGCCAACGACCCUGACAUUUACAUCGGGCCUCGAAGUGCACACGUACCUCUAACUAAUAAUCCAGAACACGGUCAUGUGAACGUCACUGUGACGAUUCUCGACGAGAACGAUAAUCCUCCAGUGUUUGAGCGCACCGAUUACUAUGCAGGAAUCAAUUCAAUGGCGAAUUUGAACGAUAUCGUCGCCAAGGUGACAGCAUCCGACUCGGACCUUGCUGACAAUGGGACGCUCCAUUAUUACGUUUCCGGGGCGAAUUUAUACAAAUUCGGAUCCGAAAAGCCCAGUGGAUCCAUUGUUCCUAGUCCAUUUAAUGUCACCCAAGAUGGCAAGGUACUAACCAGCGGGUACAUGGCAGAAUAUAACCAGGACAGGUUCAUCGUAGAUGUUGUUGCCAAAGAGACUGCUCCUCCGGAGAGAUCUGCCAUAGCCAGAGUUUAUGUUUGGGUGUUCGAGCCGACCCAGCUGAUAAAAGUGAUCUUAUCGAGGCCACCGGAAGAAGUGAACCGUGAGAGAGACGAGAUCGUCUCGGAGCUGUCAAAUGCAACGCAGAGUCGAGUUGUCGUGGAUGACAUUAGAUACCAUAUGGAUGCUUCCGGGCACCUCCUAAGAGAAUGGUGUGACAUGUACUUGCACGUGGUAGACACUGACACGCAGACCAUAGCUCCAGUCCCCCAAGUCCUAAGAGUCAUUGAUGCGAAAUACGAUUUCCUGAAGGACUACUACGCAGGGUUCGCCAUUAAAAAUGUAGUGCCUGCGUAUGCUGGAGUCCAAGAAGAGUCGUUCGAUCCAGCACUAGCAGCUUUAAUAGCACUAUUAGUUGUUUUACUAGUCGGAGCAGUCACCGUGACAGUGGUGUGCUGCUGCUUGCGCCAUUGGGUGAUUACCGUCCCGAACGACAUACGGAAAAAGGACGGCUUGAUCAAGAAACAAAUCAUCGACGAACUAAACACAACCGAAAAUCCAUUAUGGAUCGAGCAAAAACUGAAGCUGUACGAGGAACAGGAAUUAACGAUGCAAGUGUUUAGCGAACCAGAAGGCGGCCUAGGCACUGAAAGGCGAGGAAGUGGUGUCAGUGUGGGCAUGGGUGACACGUCUCAAGAUAACACCUACGCCACUAUUCAACAUCCACUAUCGUCUAACAGGCAUCGACCCACAACUCCAGAUUACACCACGCUUCCUGGAAACCAUAACCUGUACGAGUCAGCGAUGGGUUUCCAGGGAUCGACGUUUCAGCCAACAGCGAGUGCCGUUCCCCAGUUGACGCUGGACCGGGAUGGUCAGCCCCAGUUCGUCUCAGGACUCGUGUAGAGGACACAUUUCGACUCUCUUCUUACCCAUACGUAAUCGCAUCGUCGUCGUCGUAAGCCGUACCUCUUGUCCUCGGUUCUCUCGGUAGAGCGUGCACCCUUGGGCGCGAUUACCCCAAGGUAUUCGCACGCACGCGCCACUAUGACAAUAAUCGAGUACUCCGUGGUAUGCGUUUGCGUGGAAGACGCUCGUGCGCGUCCCCGAGCAAAGGUCGUCCGGGAAAAGAUUUCCGUUCCCGCGUUUUGUUAAGCCGUUUCCCUUCACCGAACGACCUCCUCGACGGGCCGAGAACGCACCGAGAGGCAGGGAACGAUGGACGGUCGACGGUCGCUAUUAAUGGACUUAAACAUUACCUGUAGCCGGUGUGUGCAUGUAUAUAUGUGUGUGCGUUGCCAACCUGAGGUCAGGUCUGACGCAAGUCUACGGAAUCCUGGCGUAUGAGGAACAUUAGCGGAGCUGGGAUGGCACGUUUGUUACGCUUAACGACGAAAACGUGUAUCGCGCGUUUCCGUGCAGGUCUUGUAACGAGUCAUCUUUCCGAUUAAUUGCCAUCAUCUACGACUAACGUAGCGAGAGGUGCAGCGAGGGGGAAGAAUUCAGAAUUGAGUUUUUGUCGCCUAUGUUCCGGGAUCAAGAGAACGAAACCUUCGAAAGUACUCUUAGGAGUUAUGCGAUGGUUAAGUGUCUAAUUUAUAUGUUAUCCUUCCCGUCCCUGAUAAUGAGUUAGCAAACCUGCAUACAACCUGCGUACGUUAUGAGGUAUAAAUGUCCAUCUCCGUAACUGGAGAAAGCACGUGUAAUAUGCUUAAGUAAGGACAUGUUAAGUAUGGACGUAAGUACCGCGUACAUGCUAUUGCGUACGUGUAAAUUGCCAUCCCUGUAGCUAAGGUAGUCACUGUGAGAUAGCUUGACUUUGAAGCUUGGCACGACAGAUAUAUGUAUAUAAGUGGAUGUGUAGAUUCCGUCCAGCCCAAUGACCCUUUUUAUACUUCCGCAUUCGUUUGUACGUCGAGGAUUCCCCUGUCACCUGUUUCCUACGACGUCCUGGUAAAAUCUUCAUCCAGGCUUUUAAGUUAAGUAGUCGCUCGGAGGAAGUACUCCCUCGCGGCUGGAUCUCGACCAGGUGCACAUUCUCUCUGUUAUACAUCGACAUUUAGGCGAAUCGCGGGCGAUGGGCGGACAUAGUCAUAUCAUAGAUAAACGAACGAUGACGUCGUUCGCAAUGAAUUUCGAGACGACGUGUAUUCGAGUGAGGACGGCUUACUUACGUUCAGUGGGCGAUCGAUACGAACCAUUUUUUCAUAUUCCUCGCAUACUUCUUGGGCCAAAAUCAAAACAAAUGCAUUCGAGAACUUCGGAGAUUACUGCGAACGUAUCGUCACCGUUAAACGUAUCUCGUACUCGAAUGGAAAACUAACUUAACUCGGACAAGUUAACGUUAAGAUCGUUUAAUAUAAUAUUACCAUUGUGACUACGAUAUUAUUAGAUGGUUAUUAUUAUUAUUACCAUUAUUAUAACUCCAGUUAGCAAAAAAUUGUCUGUUUAUUAGUUACAAACUGAUUGUAACAUAUUUUAUGUAAGCAAUUAAUAUAAAAUAUUCGUAUAUGAAA